CCUACGGGUGGCAGCAGUGAGGAAUAUUGGUCAAUGGGCGCGAGCCUGAACCAGCCAAGUCGCGUGAGGGAAGACGGCCCUACGGGUUGUAAACCUCUUUUGCCGGGGAGCAACGGGCGCCACGUGUGGCGCCACUGAGAGUACCCGGAGAAAAAGCAUCGGCUAACUCCGUGCCAGCAGCCGCGGUAAUACGGAGGAUGCGAGCGUUAUCCGGUUUUAUUGGGUUUAAGGGGUGCGUAGGCGGAGCGUAAAGUCAGUGGGAAAAUUGCGGGGCUCAACCCCUUCCCGCCAUUGAAACUGGCGAUCUUGAGUGGAAGAGAAGUAUGCGGAAUGCGUGGUGUAGCGGUGAAAUGCAUAGAUAUCACGCAGAACCCCGAUUGCGAAGGCAGCAUGCCGGCUUCCUACUGACGCUGAAGCACGAAAGCGUGGGGAGCGAACAGGAUUAGAUACCCCAGUAGUC
rnacentral:rRNA from 1 species